rnacentral:tRNA from 1 species
UUCCUGGUGGCCUAGUGGUUAGGAUUCAGCAUUUUCACUGCUGUAGCCUGGGUUCAGUCCCUAGUCUGGAUG